AUGAACGCUGGCGGCGUGCCUAAUACAUGCAAGUCGAGCGAACAGACGAGGAGCUUGCUCCUCUGACGUUAGCGGCGGACGGGUGAGUAACACGUGGAUAACCUACCUAUAAGACUGGGAUAACUUCGGGAAACCGGAGCUAAUACCGGAUAAUAUAUUGAACCGCAUGGUUCAAUAGUUAAAGACGGUUUUGCUGUCACUUAUAGAUGGAUCCGCGCCGCAUUAGCUAGUUGGUAAGGUAACGGCUUACCAAGGCAACGAUGCGUAGCCGACCUGAGAGGGUGAUCGGCCACACUGGAACUGAGACACGGUCCAGACUCCUACGGGAGGCAGCAGUAGGGAAUCUUCCGCAAAGGGCGAAAGCCUGACGGAGCAACGCCGCGUGAGUGAUGAAGGUCUUCGGAUCGUAAAACUCUGUUAUUAGGGAAGAACAAAUGUGUAAGUAACUAUGCACGUCUUGACGGUACCUAAUCAGAAAGCCACGGCUAACUACGUG
rnacentral:rRNA from 1 species